ACCUUUCGUUGUGGUCUCACUUACUUAAUUAAAGACAAAUAAAAUGAUUAAUAUUUUGUUGAAUUAAAUAAGUAAGUGAUUAGCAAAUGAAACUUUUGCUUUAUGGAGUCUUGGUGGUUCUUCUUCGGUCAAAGGGAGUGGUUCCAUCCAACCAUGCAGAUUCCUUAUUAAGCGGUUAAAAUUCGUUCCCAACCAUUAUUUUCCUCUUCCUCACUUUCUCCACUCUUUUCCCGAAUCCGAAUUCAAAUAUUGAACUAAGACUCUGAGAGAUGUCAGCAAAAUAAAUUACUGUAAAGAGUAUAAUAUGCUUCAAUGUUCCAUGCAA